rnacentral:rRNA from 1 species
UGAUGACGAGACGCUAAGGCGUUGAAGCAGUGUAUGUCAGACUUCCAAGAAAAGCUCGCAAUGUCACAAAUAAAAAUGCCUGUACCAUAACCGACACAGGUGGGUAGGUAGAGUAUACUAAGGGGCGCGAGAUAACUCUCUCUAAGGAACUCGGCAAAAUGACUCCGUAACUUCGGGAGAAGGAGUGCCUUAUUUUUAAGGUUGCAAUAACAAGAUCCAAGCAACUGUUUAUCAAAAACACAGGUCUCCGCUAAGUCGUACGAUGUAUGGGGGCUGACGCCUGCCCAGUGCCAGAAGGUUAAAGAAGUUGGUUAGUGUAUGCGAAGCUGAUGACUGAAGCCCUGGUGAACGGCGGCCGUAACUAUAACGGUCCUAAGGUAGCGAAAUUCCUUGUCGGGUAAGUUCCGACCCGCACGAAAGGCGUAAUGAUUUGGAUACUGUCUCGGAGAGAGGCUCGGUGAAAUAGACUUGUCUGUGAAGAUGCGGACUACCUGCACCAGGACAGAAAGACCCUAUGAAGCUUUACUGUAACUUGAAAUUGGAAUUGGACUUUGCUUGCGCAGUAUAGGUGGGAAGCGUUGAAAAUAUUCUUGCGGGAGUAUUGGAGCUACCAGUGAGAUACCACUCUUGUAAUGUUAGAUUUCUAACUUUGAACCAUAAUCUGGUCAAAGAACAGUUUCAGGUGGGCAGUUUGACUGGGGCGGUCGCCUCCCAAAUGGUAACGGAGGCGUACAAAGGUUUCCUCUGAACGGAUAGAAAUCGUAUCUAGAGUGUAAAGGCAUAAGGAAGCUUGACUGUGAGACCUACAAGUCGAGCAGGGACGAAAGUCGGUCUUAGUGAUCUGACGGUACUGAGUGGAAAGGCCGUCACUCAACGGAUAAAAGUUACUCCAAGGAUAACAGGCUGAUCUCCCCCAAGAGUUCACAUCGACGGGGAGGUUUGGCACCUCGAUGUCGGCUCAUCGCAUCCUGGGGCGGUAGUACGUCCCAAGGGUUGGGCUGUUCGCCCAUGAAAGCGGUACGCGAGCUGGGUUCAGAACGUCGUGAGACAGUUCGGUCCAUAUCCGGUGUAGGCGCUAGAAUAUUGAGAGGAGCCUUCUUUAGUACGAGAGGACCGAGAAGGACACACCGCUGGUGUACCAGUUAUCGUGCCAACGGUAAACGCUGGGUAGCUAUGUGUGGAGUGGAUAACCGCUGAAAGCAUCUAAGUGGGAAGCCCACCUCGAGAUGAGUAUUCUCAU